AUGGCGUUCUGGCAUCCAUGAUAGUCCUUGACUGGUUUUAUGAAGCAGGUCAACAGUUGAUUGCUCCCUUCAGUGGCUGUUAGAAAAAUGAAUAUAUUCGACACCGGUGUAAAAUCAUCAAAAACAGGACAUUUACUGUUUGCAAACAGGGAGACAGAGUUGACACACUUACAGGUCAUGCACCAAGCAUACUCAAAGGUUUUCUUUUCCAUCCCCCACGUAUGAAUUACGAUAAGGUAUCAAACAGGAAGGUUUUGCGCAUGCAAAAUGAUCUCAUUGUACAACGACUGUCAUGUCCUGAGACUCUUCAGAGACAACGAGUGGCCUUCUGGACACCGGACACACACGUCACCCAGAUUUCAUCUCCUGAGCGGUCUUAUCUCCGCUGACACGUCAUACACCCAAUUUAUUGUACAAACGAUACAGACAUAGUCUUGUUUUGUCUAAAACCCCCUUCUUGACAUGACAUUAUUGUAUUUUUUUCACAGUGGCCAAACACGUACUUAGCUUAGCGAACGUCUGCAACCUGGUUCCGUUUAUUUCUGGAAGGUUGCCCAGAGGCUGGCCAGUUAGGGGGCCGCCCAAGUAAGAAGUCUGCAGGACGCCUGCAGUAACUUCCAGAUCUGAUGUACCCUUGGUGGUUUAUGUGAAAGAAUGGGGGGAUUUUGUCCAACCAGACAAGCACAUUCUGUCCCUUAACGUGGGGCAAUGUCUAGAGUGUACCCGGUCUCUCGCCUGAUGUUACCUAGGAUGGAUUUUAGCCCCCCCGCAUCCCUGCAAGGAUAAGUGGUAUAGAGGAUGACUGACUGUGUCCUUUUCAUUGUUACAAAAAGACGUUAAAUUUGCAUACAAUACAAGCAGAUGUUGACAGUCACCGCAGUUAUAUCCAGGUUUUCACAGGCACAUUGAAGAGUCUAAUGAACAAGGAAGUAGUGGCAUUUAUUAUCCCAGAAUGUAAUGUCAAAACAGGUCAAAUGAUCACGGAGGGACUAUCAGUAUACACUGGGGAAAUUAUGAAGGAAGUGAUCUACCUCCCUCUUUGCAGAAUGAAAUAAUGCUGGCACUGUACUGGAUAGAGGACAAACCACCAUUGAGAAAGAAUUGUUUGGUCUCAAGUUUGUCACUAGUCAGCUUAAUAAACAGCCAUUCAGAUAGUGUACCAGAUAUCAUUGAAAAAACAGUAAACAUAGAGAAUUUAAAUAAUGAGCACCAGCACAUAUUAGGUUUUAAGGUAAACAUUAUACGUCCUUGUGAAGGGAUAUGCGUAUUUGGUGUAAAUUUUCAAUGUUUUUUCUAUAACAUAACCUAAGACAAAACUCUCAAAACAAAACAACAAAACAAAAGUUCUCUACUACCAUUACCAGCCCAUCCACACCUUUGCAAACCUCACCCGCUAAUUGAUUUCCUACGUUUCUCUUUGGAAUGCGUUUAAGAUUCCGUUCUACACAACAGCAGGAAACAGGAAAUCAGGGGGGUUUGGUUUAGGGAGGUAUGAAGAUGCUGGUUGUAGUCUCAGCCAAUCCCUGAGCUGAUGACGUAUAGAGAAUCCAGUCGUGGUCUCCCCGGGCUGAAGGUUUUUGAUGACGUAUGGGCAAAACGGUGGAAUUACUCUAAAAUAUAAAUACAGUAAUAUUGAGAAUCUUACAUGGUUAGAUCAGGAAGUUAGAUUGGGAAACCUCAAAUGGAUGGACGUGGCCGGAUGGAGGCGCUGUCCAAUUGAAUAUUUUUGAUCAUCAUCAAACAUCUUUUCAUUUUAAUUGAACCAUCUAUUGGCUUUAUUGGUCAGUCCUAUGUUGUGCAACAAUGGUUUAAUCUAAAGAUACAUCUUGUAUGGUGCAUAAUAAUCAUAUCUAUAUAUAUAGAAAUUAUUUAUAAAGAAGAUGAACAAGCACAUUUCUACAAAUGUAGAAAUUUCUGUUUGAAGGCUUCUGGAUACUUUCCAGCUGCACCUUUUGGGCCUUGCCCAAUAGCGCCGCCUGCGCUUGUCCACUUUUCAGGUGAGGCCAACUCAUCUAAAAAGCCUGGUAACUGAUUUCAAACACUUCUAACAUACAACACCUAGUUUCACAGCAAGGUCCAGCUGCUUCAGGUGCGCCGAUGAACACAGUGUCACGGCGAGCAUGGCCAUCCUUCGCCAGGCUUCUGCUUUCUAAUGAAUGAUUAGACAAUGAGCAGCAGCCAAUCAACUCACCUAAACCACAGAGUCUGGCAUUUCCUCUCAUUUCACUGUAACUACACUCCCCUCUGACAUUUUCCAAUUCAUUGUCAUUGCUGAAGGAUAGCAUUUUAAUUCUUGCACAUGACAACGUGGCCACUGAUAAAAUGCUGCUAAGGCCACUGACAAGAUUUCAAUCUGCUGUUCUGCCUUUAUUUACCACAGACGGAACUGCUCGAAGAGCUGGUAAUAUGCUCCUCUAGGCUCUACAGGUCUCUUGAUGUACUGAAAUGACCUUUUGCUGAUAGUAAAUCCAUUUAGCGUCCCCCUGAAACAGUAAAAUACAGCAGUUACCACUCUAUCAAGCUUCUUUUUGAUUUUUGUGUUGCCGUGGCACCACUGUAAAUCAUACAUGCCCAUCACUAUGGCAGGGCUACAAUAUAAUCUGUACUCUGUACUCGGAGCAUUUCAUUCAGUGCAGCUUCUCAAAUUGCUGAACUCCAUGGCAGCUCUGUAAAUGUUUUUCCUUGCACACAUACCGGACGUCAUUUCCGGAUAAACACAACAAACUGCCACGGUCAUCGCCACUGAGCAAACCGUCAUCACAGGUUUCUGCACUUUUUCUUCUUCUGCUGCAUUUAAGUUUCCCGACAUACAAAGUUCUAAUAGGGCUCCUUUCACAGAGAAAUGUAACUUCUCAGCACAGCAAAGACUCUACCUGCCUCACCUUGGACAUGGCCAUCAUCUUUCAUUUGUGCUCUUAAGGUCCUGGACAGAACAGAAGCAAUGAAUCUCUGCUGCCCUCAUCUCAAUCCACAGCAACCUUUAAUAUAUGAAGAUGUGUACACCGUCAGAGAAAAUAUGAAACACCAUACGUGUCACUGAUCAUGAAGGUUGUAAGGAUGAUUCAACAUAGGGCUUAAAAUUAAUAGAAUAAGCAGCAGUUUAAUAGUAAUAUACAAUGGUUGGGAGAGUUUCACUUAGUUGGGUUAAAGGAGAUUUCUAUUUCUGUAACAACAUACGCUAUUAAACUCAAUCAUUUCAGAUUUAUCUAAAUGCAAAUAGCUCAAAUUUGGUUUUCACGCUUAAAUUUGGUUUGCAGGUGGCCUCUUAACAUUUCAUCUUCAUCUCUUAACUUUUCAGGCACCUUUUAACAAAAUGUAUAUUUGGGUCAUAAUAAAGGGGACACUGUGUAAAUGAAGUGUAAAUAUCAAUAUAUAUGUUAAGAGUAAAUGAAGACAAGAAAUUAGCAUGAUAUAGAGGGAUAUAUACAUACUAAUCUGCGGAUGAUUUGGAUUUGUUGGGUAAUUUAAGACUCUUCAUUUGUAGAAAGUUUUUUUUUUUCCAUUGUUUGAUCGCGUGGCGCAUGUGCGUAGUUGGCCAGACUCAGCGCGCACGCUGAUGCUACAGUGCAUGCUGACUCGGAGAGGGCAGGAGGCCUACUCCUCGUUAUUAACUAUUGUCCCAAACGAGGACAUUGGAAGGUCGACUGUACUAUGUUGAAACUUUGCCCUAGACGUGCUGCAAUUGGUUGGUUGGUUUAGCUGCACAUUCAGCCAUUACUUCUGUGGGUCUUGACUUGCAGGUACAGGACUCUAGUCCUGGAGGUUGGGGACAUUGGGGAGGCCCUCAACUGCCACAACCUAGGUUUGACAGCACUUACUGUAUAUGGGAGAGACGCAGACAGUUGAACAAAAGGUUAAGUAUUUAUUUAGAUAUCGGCAGGAGAAUCCACACUUGAUGGAGACGAGGCACAGGGUGAUCAGCCGGGUCCAGGUUUAAAGCUUUAAACUAGAGCACCGGGCCAAAGAUAGCACUCUCCAGGGGCCUCAUUUAUAAAACCUUGCGUAGGAUUUGCGCCAGAAGUGGCGUACGGAUGAAAUGUAGGACGUGCGUACGCACAGAAAUAUUCAGACUUAUAAAACCGUGCGCACGCACGCAGUUUUCCCUUAAUAAAUCACAAUUACUUCUAAACGCAGCGCAGCUUUUGCGGCUUCAUGUCACGCCCAUAAUUUCCCAUAGAUAGUCUGUGGAACGCCCACAAAUUAAUAUUCAUCGAUUGCGAAAUCAUGACAAACACUGAGAGGAAAACGAAGAAACGUAACUUCACUCAGUGUGAAGUCAGAACUAUCAUUGGCGAGGUGGAAAAGAGAAGUCUAAUGCUUUUUGGAGGGCACAGUAUGAGCAUCACUAAUGCCAAAAAGGCACUUGAGUGGCAAAAGGUUGCAGAGCAACGCUGCAGCCUCACAACCUCGGACUGAAAUAAAGAAAAAAUGGUCUGACAUCAAAGUGGAUGCAAAAAAGCGUUUAGCGCACUAUCGCCAAGGUGUGUCUGCCCCGGGUGGGAAAGGGACACCGGAGCUGUCCCCUCUUGAUGAGAGACUGGCGGCAAUGAUUGGGGAUCGGGGACAGGGUCUGGGCCAACAUCGGCGUCAGGGGGUCGAGGCACGUUUGGAAGCUGUGCCACAUCAUGUAGCACAGCACACGCAGCACGAUUUUGCACACCUUUUCAGGAGUAAACAACAACCUCCUCCAGUGCAGUCGAGGCAGCGCCAUCUGCCCUUAAACAGGCCGAUGGUGCGCUGCACUACAGCGCCAAUCCUUCCAUGUGCCACGUCUUCUAAGAGCGCAAGAUCAGCCAUCAGCGUCAUUACGCAUUGUGACGUCAUCAUGGCGUUUUAUUACCGUCCAUCUGAUUGCAUCUGACAAGCAACAGCUGUGUUUUGAGAAUGAAUUCAAUAACAUGCCGAUAUUAUUGCAGAACAUAUUUCACUUUUCUUUUUGAGAAAUGUGUUAAUUUGUAUUUCUGUUUGUUUUACGCUGCAGAUCGAUCAAACGGGUGUUCGUGUUAUUUAUGAGGCAGUAUUGGCAUUUCAUUUACACAACAGUCUAGUUUUACACACUUUCACAAUGUGAAAAUGCGUGUAAAAAAAAAAAUGCACACAAAUGCGUGUUUCUUGCAUUUGCCGACGGUUCUCAUUUUACCCGUUUUUGUGCGUACGCGUGGGUCCGAGCUUGCGUGAAAGACAUUUUACCGUCAAGUUUGCUUUUUAUUAAUACCAAUUAUUGCGUAGAGAGCGGCGUACGCCUUCUUUUGUGCGUACGCAACGUUUAUAAAUGAGGCCCCAGGAACCUACCAUGAAAGGGACACACGCCUAAUGUGCCAUUUUAUCCGACAUCCUCCUUUUGACUGAUUGUCAAGCAAAUGCAGCCAUUUCUUCUUGACUGGUUCAGUUGCAGACAAACAUUUCAUUUUCCCCAUUGUAGCAGCACAAGCUUCCAUUAAAUAUGCUGAAGGAUAAAAAUAAGUUCGGAUUAAUCAGUUCUUAGAUUGGUGUUUUGGUAUAUAAAGGUGAUGACACAAGGAGGCGUUGAUAUACUUUUCCCUUUAUGAAAUUAUCCUGCGGCCAAAAUUGGCCAGACCAACUCAUUAACUGUAAUUAACGCGGCCUCUAAAACUUUCCAUCUAAACAUCACUUCACCCUUCUUUAUUUUAAAAUUCAUCCCAAAAAAAAUUCAGCCCUGAAGUGCAAAAAACAACAGCAAAUAGGAAAACACAACGGAAUUAACUUCUCACAGGAAGGGUAGGGCCUUAAAGUAGAGGACUGACUCUUCUGAUUGGACAGACGGACUGUGUCUUUUAACAGGAAAUGAUACAGGGCUCUAAAGUGUCAUGGUUUGAGCAGGACGGUCACUUGGACUGCGGAAAGUAAAACAAACAUCUGAUCAGAGCGCAGACACGAUCUUGCAUGUUCUUACAUUAGACACGGCCCUAAACACCGGCCAAGAAGCCCUUGUGUUGAGUCUUUAGGAAGUACUGUAGAGUGGAGAUGCGAUCAUGAUCUGAGUGCCAAACUAAAUAAACUCAAUCCAUAGCGUGCAAAGAAGGACUCUACUAAAAGAGACAGCUGUUGGUCUUUCUGGAGCAACUUUUGCUGUUAUGGCACUUUUGGUUUAAUCCACAAGGUGGAAACUGCAGGAGGGGGGCGGGGUUAUAUUUUAAACGGCGUGUGCCCCUUGAAGCCAGGGUCGGGAACUGGGCUCCGGGCCAGCUAAAAUACAAAUGUUGGCCCCGCUGAGUGAUCCGUUUAGUUGUAGCUCUCCUAAUGGGUGAUGAGCCUUUCCCCGGGCUAACGAGGCACAUCAAGGCCAAGAAAGGUGUUAUGAUGAUGAGCAAAGCAGAAACAAAUACAAUAACAUCAGUGGCGGUUUUGGAUACUUUAAGGAUUGCAUGGCAAAAUGACUGAAUGAAUAUAUGAAUAGCACCAUGCUAAAUAUUUAAAAAGGGUUCCAAAGCACUUUGUGUCAUCCCUAAAGCCUUUCCACAGUCAGGCACAUAUAAUGGCGUAAGUAUUGAUUAAUGAUGCAUAAGAGAGCCUGAUCAAGAUUCAUAAAUCAAGUGUGCAUAAAUCUUCCACUAUAAUCCACCAGGCAGACAAAGGAGAGGGCUGUAAUAAAAGCCAAACUUCCUUAAGAGGGAGUGUGAGAUUUAUCUGCUCCUCUAAGGGUUUACUCAAACAAGUAUGCAUAAUGUUGCAGUUACAGCACGCAGACAGCUGAGAUGAUUGGGAGCCAUUAGGUUUGAUCAAAGCAGAACUGCUUCGCUGGCUAAGAGGGAGCAGAAUGUAAUAAAUAACCUCCAGGUAACUGUCUUUUUGAACAUGUAAACAUCACUAAUAAGACAAUAUCAGACAUGGGCCUGUGUAGCUGUUUUACGCCGGCAUGUAUAACAUUUACAGGGAGGAUACCAACGUUAUAGAAAUAUUCAUCUCAGCAGCCAUAGGGUGUCUGCACACAAGUAAUACAUCCACUGCGGGUCAACGACCUUCACACAUGAUCAACCGUUGGCUUCAAAGGCAAAAUAUUAUGCAAAUAUCAUUGUGCUUUCAUUGGAAAAGGGUUCUGUGAUAUGGUUUCAUAACUACAAACCGCAACCCAAUGUAUGACUGUUUGAUGCCUUUAUUUGGGGUUGCGAAAGCUCAAAUAAAUUUUAAAAAGUAUUAUUGUUUAGCUGCUUAAAAUUUGCAUCCCAUGAUUUUACCAAUUACAAAAACAUGCUAGAAAGUCAUGUUUAAACUAAUCGCACAUUAACAAUGCCUGAGAGAAACUCCUGUAGUGCUGUGAGGGUGAGAUCAAGUUAUUUGUCACCACUUUCCUCUCAUUGGUCGUCAUACACAGAUUUUUCUGUACCAAUGCUUGUCUCAGAAUCCACGUUUGCUGUCCCCUAGUUAAUGGUGUGAAUAUCAGUUCCUGAUGGUCUCUGGUACUGUGUAUGCCAGUUCAUGAAUCGUUGUGAAAGUGUGGCAGAGCUUUAUGUGGAUGGAGGACCAGAAAAGAGAAAUAGUACAGUCUAUUCACUAUUUAGCAAUAUUUGGAAUAUGUUUGUUUAUUUCUAAUAAUUUGACAAUUGGACACAUUAAGACCAAUGCGUCCAGCUCGCAGACCGGUCCGUAUUGGUAAAAUGAAGUCAGAAUCUGUGAAUAUCUUGCCAACUUUCAAUACGGAUUGAUUUUUGGAAAAUCUAAAUAAUGCAGAUGAUGUGCGCCGGCUCCUCCAUAGUUCGGUAAAGUUGGCAAGUUAUUCAGAUUCAGACUGACGGACCGGUCUGAGAGCUGGACGCAUUGGUCUUAAUGUGCCGGUAAUGAUGGUAAAUGAUGCUUGUAGCUGGUUGUCAUCUACGGUCCACCACGAUUACCGAAGGGGGGCGUUUGUGUUUUCACGUUUUAUCUCAUAAUUUCGACUUUCUAUCCCCUUUCUGUAGUGCGGAAAUGGGCUUCUAUAGUUGUGUGAAUGCAUCACUCCAGCCAAUCCAAAGACGGGGUUUGUAACCAAUCAGGUGUAGAGACCAUGGUGACUGGCUCCGCCCCCUUACUGUCAAAAACAACAACAGCGAGCGCGUAGAAAACAUCUUCGAGCGCGAGCAGAGACUAACCUCGCGAGCGAGGAAGAGCGACCAAAUAUCUAUAGAGACGGACUUUUGCUUGCGAAUGUUUGAUUUACGCAUCAACCUGAUUUGCGCUCUGGAAUUUUGACAGUGAUUUGCUGCCAUACAUUUAUAUCACAGCAAGGCCACAGUUACCCAAAGCAUGACUGAAGCAGUACAUUUAUCACCUCAGAUAUCUAUCCUAAUUUUACACAAUCAAUUAGUAUCAUUGAUUAAAUGAUUUUAUGUGUCCUGAAAAACGACAAUCUCAACUGUAUGAGUAAAAUAAUUCUACAUUAAAGCACGGACAAAUGCAUAACACAAAACAAAACCCCGGAUUUGAUUUAUUCUUAACAGGAAAGACAUUAUUUCUUUUUCAUGACCAAGUACAGAACAGUGUUAAUUUCGUCAACAAAAACAACGCCAAAAAAUUUUCUUUGGCCUUUUUUCCAUGACUAAGACGAGACUAAUACGUGACGAAAAUGGAUCUUUGAAAAUAAAAACUAUGAAUAAAGCCUAGUUUAUGCGUUUUCAGAGCGAUGCAAGGAAACGCAGACGCAAGAGCCCCUUGCGUGUCUUUUCACACCUCCUUGGGUGUGAAAAGACACGCAAGCCUCACGCUGCGCACAAGCCUGCAAUUAGUCUGCUAACUACGUCCUUUCCGGAGUCUUACAUUUCCGUUUUCACAGCACAAUACCUCCAUUAUUAAAACAAAGAAUGUUUACGAGAGAACGGAUCAGAUUGAAGAACUUUUGUCUGAAGAAAUGCGUAAAUAUGAACGCUUAUACAAGCCGUCAUUGGCAGACUAUAAGGACGCCGGAUGGCCUC
ensembl:lncRNA